AACAGGAUUAGAUACCCUGGUAGUCCACGCCGUAAACGAUGUCGACUUGGAGGUUGUGCCCUUGAGGCGUGGCUUCCGGAGCUAACGCGUUAAGUCGACCGCCUGGGGAGUACGGCCGCAAGGUUAAAACUCAAAUGAAUUGACGGGGGCCCGCACAAGCGGUGGAGCAUGUGGUUUAAUUCGAUGCAACGCGAAGAACCUUACCUACUCUUGACAUCCAGAGAACUUAGCAGAGAUGCUUUGGUGCCUUCGGGAACUCUGAGACAGGUGCUGCAUGGCUGUCGUCAGCUCGUGUUGCGAAAUGUUGGGUUAAGUCCCGCAACGAGCGCAACCCUUAUCCUUUGUUGCCAGCGGUCCGGCCGGGAACUCAAAGGAGACUGCCAGUGAUAAACUGGAGGAAGGUGGGGAUGACGUCAAGUCAUCAUGGCCCUUACGAAUAGGGCUACACACGUGCUACAAUGGCGCAUACAAAGAGAAGCGACCUCGCGAGAGCAAGCGGACCUCAUAAAGUGCGUCGUAGUCCGGAUUGGAGUCUGCAACUCGACUCCAUGAAGUCGGAAUCGCUAGUAAUCGUGGAUCAGAAUGCCACGGUGAAUACGUUCCCGGGCCUUGUACACACCGCCCGUCACACCAUGGGAGUGGGUUGCAAAAGAAGUAGGUAGCUUAACCUUCGGGAGGGCGCUUACCACUUUGUGAUUCAUGACUGGGGUGAAGUCGUAACAAGGUAACC
rnacentral:rRNA from 1 species